rnacentral:rRNA from 1 species
UACAGAGGGUGCGAGCGUUAAUCGGAAUUACUGGGCGUAAAGCGUGCGUAGACGGUUAUUUAAGUCGGGUGUGAAAGCCCCGGGCUCAACCUGGGAACUGCAUUCGAGACUGCAUUGCUAGAGUAUGGGGAGAGGGAAGUGGAAUUUCAGGUGUAGCGGUGAAAUGCGUAGAUAUCUGAAGGAACAUCAGUGGCGAAAGCGACUUCCUGGACCAAUACUGACGCUCAUGUGCGAAAGCGUGGGGAGCAAACAGG